GCGCCUACGGGACGCAGCAGUGGGGAAUAUUGCACAAUGGGGGAAACCCUGAAAAAAAAAAAAAAAAAAAAAAAAAAAAAAAUACGAGAUGUAAAGCUCUAUCAGCAGGGAAGAAAAUGACGGUACCUGAGUAAGAAGCCCCGGCUAACUACGUGCCAGCAGCCGCGGUAAUACGUAGGGGGCAAGCGUUAUCCGGAUUUACUGGGUGUAAAGGGAGCGUAGACGGCCAGACAAGUCUGAAGUGAAAAUCCAGCGCUUAACGUUGGAAGUGCUUUGGAAACUGCCGGGCUAGAGUGCAGGAAGGG
rnacentral:rRNA from 1 species